GACUACAGCCAUACCACCACGAACAUGCCCGAUCUCGUCUGAUCUUGGAAGCUAAGCAGAGUCGGGACUGGUUAGUACUUGGAUGGGAGACCACCUAGGAAGACCAGGUGUUAUGCG
rnacentral:rRNA from 1 species